rnacentral:rRNA from 1 species
UACGAAGGGGGCGAGCGUUGUUCGGAAUUACUGGGCGUAAAGCGUGUGUAGGUGGUUCGAUAAGUCUGAUGUGAAAGCCCAGGGCUCAACCUUGGAACUGCAUUGGAUACUAUCAGACUAGAGUGGUGGAGAGGAUAGUAGAAUUCCUAGUGUAGAGGUGAAAUUCGUAGAUAUUAGGAGGAAUACCAGUGGCGAAGGCGACUAUCUGGACACACACUGACACUGAGACACGACAGCGUGGGGAGCAAACAGG